UACGGGGGGGGCAAGCGUUGUUCGGAAUUACUGGGCGUAAAGCGCGCGUAGGCGGAUCUGCAAGUCGGGGGUGAAAUCCCGAGGCUCAACCUCGGAACUGCCUUCGAUACUGCGGGUCUCGAGUCCGGGAGAGGUGAGUGGAAUUCCUAGUGUAGAGGUGAAAUUCGUAGAUAUCAGGAGGAACACCGAUGGCGAAGGCAGCUCGCUGGGACGGUACUGACGCUGAGGCGCGAAAGCGUGGGGAGCAAACAGG
rnacentral:rRNA from 1 species